CUCUCCACAAGCCUUGGGUGCUGAGGACAAGACCACUGGCCCCCUCUCCGGGUCAGGGGCCUGUUGGGGAUGGGGUGGGAGGUGGAGGGCGGCAGAGGGAAGGGCUUCCAGGCAGCCCUCUUGCUGGUGGUUAUGGGAUGGUAGGGUGGGGAAUGGGGGUGCUUUGGUCCUGUUUCUAGUUUCCCUUUUUCUUAACAGAAUCCAGCAUCUUUAUUUGGAAUUGGCCAGAUGCUGCGGGAGAAGGAGCCCAGAGUAGUGCAAAGGGCACAGGAAGGGGGCGGGGUGCAGAUCCUAGUAGAGACUCCCCUCGGCUAAACUGGACCAAACCAGUUCACCCAUCUGAACCUUUGUUUGUUUCUUCAUCUGAUGACUCAGCCCAAGGGUCGAACCUUCCAGAAGUCUUGGUGUCCGAGAUGUCUUGGUCUCCGGGGAGGUUAAUGAUGUAACACAGAGGAAGUGAAUGGUAACAUCAGGCCACGGUAGCAGCCCAGCUCCAAACUCAGGCCGCCUGGGCUCCCAUCCUUGGGCAGUUAACUCUCCGACCUCAGUAGGGAGCCUCCUCUGUGCACUCCUGAGGACCCUCUCAACCUGUGCGGUGAGACGGUAGCCCCAAGGCCGAGAGCCCCUGGGCGUGGCCCUGCGGUUCAGGAGAGCCCUGCUCUGGCUCAUUCUUAGUCUUCUGCAUGAUGCCAGCAGGGGAGGUCUCGGUGGAUGUGUAAAUCAUGACUAAUGACGUGAAGUCUCAUUUCAGAAAGGCCUUCAUCAUUUCUAAUAUUUGCAGUGACUCCUUUGCACAGACACCCAUCUCCCUCCAGAGGUGGGAUUCUUUAGGAAGCUGGUAGGAGCCUGAGCAUUGAAAAACUUAGAACGUAAAUGCUGUGGGGUCACCACCCUCGGUCAGAGAAUCUCCAAGUUGUGAACCCUCUGGCUAGACUCAUCACUUGGGGCUCCGUGCCAUCCGGAGAGCCGACCUUCAUGGGGUCAUCGGGAACACAGCGAAGCAGUCAUUUCACAGGUGGGAGACAUACCUGAUGUGGAAACAUGGGAGGAGACCGGAGUCAGCUGGACACCAGCCAGUGGCUGGCGAGAAGACAGGAAUCAAAGCUGCCAGUGCUCCCCAAAUGAAUUGAUUACCUCCAUGUGCUCCCAACCAGCAUUCCAGAAGAUUCAUCUGAAAAUGAGCAAAGAUUCCAGGGUACAUCUGAAAAAAACCAAAAUGAUGAAUGUGGCUGGGGAUUUUUUAAGGAGAAGCAUAAUGAGGAGAGGCACUUGCUCUAAUAAAAGCAAACAACAAACGUCCAUGGGUGAUGCGCCCUCUUCUGAGCACUUGACAUUCAUUAAUUAAUUGAAUCCUCACAACAAUCCUACGAGGUAGGUAUUAUGUUUAACUGUAUGAAAUGGCUGGUAGUUGCUAGCAUUUUGGACCUAUAAAGUGGCAAUUUUGUAUUAUUGUCACCCACAUUUUACAGAUGGCAAAAUGUGGUGACACAGAGAGGUUAAGUAUGGUCCCAAGUUCGUCCAGAUACCCUGGCUGCAGGGUUGGUGCUCAUGAGGUUACAUUAUAUAAUUGACAUCUUCAGAAAUAGAAUCUAGAAUACAUGAAGAUUUAAUCUAUGAUAAAGAAAGCUCCACAAACCUGUGGGCCAAGAAGAAUUAUUGCAUAUACGGUAUUUGCUAAAACUGGCUAAUUGGGGAAGAAGAUCUUCACCUCCCACCUUACCAUGGAUCAAUUACAGAUGGAUUACAGAAUUCAGUGUAUAAAAGGAAACCUUCAAAACCUAGGAAAGAGGAUUAGCUAAAUAAUUAUCUGCUGAGUGGGGAGGACACAAGGAAAGAAUAGCAAAGCUGUCUAUAUAAAAAACGGAAGCUCCUGUUCAUUAAAAAGAUCAUAAAACAAUUAAAAAUACCAGGAACACUGGGAAAAAUACUUGUCAGAAACAUGACAAAGGGGAUUAAUAUGUUUCCACAUCAAUGACUAGAAUAAAAGGGAAAGGAAGUUGGGAAGGGGCA
rnacentral:lncRNA from 12 species